GACGAACGCUGGCGGCGUGCUUAACACAUGCAAGUCGAACGGAAAGGCCCUGCUUUUGUGGGGUGCUCGAGUGGCGAACGGGUGAGUAACACGUGAGUAACCUGCCCUUGACUUUGGGAUAACUUCAGGAAACUGGGGCUAAUACCGGAUAGGAGCUCUUGCUGCAUGGUGGGGGUUGGAAAGUUUCGGCGGUUGGGGAUGGACUCGCGGCUUAUCAGCUUGUUGGUGGGGUAGUGGCUUACCAAGGCUUUGACGGGUAGCCGGCCUGAGAGGGUGACCGGCCACAUUGGGACUGAGAUACGACCCAGACUCCUACGGGAGGCAGCAGUGGGGAAUAUUGCACAAUGGGCGGAAGCCUGAUGCAGCAACGCCGCGUGCGGGAUGACGGCCUUCGGGUUGUAAACCGCUUUCGCCUGUGACGAAGCGUGAGUGACGGUAAUGGGUAAAGAAGCACCGGCUAACUACGUG
rnacentral:rRNA from 1 species